GGCUGCCCUGAAUAUAGUGAGUUAUCUCGAUUGUUCACAGUUAUAGAUUGAACGAACUCCUUGUUCUCUUUCCCACCUUCUCACUAUUGAACUUAACUAGUCUUAA
rnacentral:Y_RNA from 1 species